GGGGAUGUAGCUCAUUGGUGCAGCACCUGCCUGGAAAGCAUGAGGCCCUGAGUUUGAUUCCCAGUAACACUC
rnacentral:tRNA from 1 species